CGCAAGCCUGACGGAGCAAUACCGCGUGGGGGAUGACGGUCUGUGGAUUGUAAACCCCUUUUCUCUAGGAAGAAGUUCUGACGGUACUAGAGGAAUCAGCAUCGGCUAACUCCGUGCCAGCAGCCGCGGUAAUACGGAGGAGGCAAGCGUUAUCCGGAAUCAUUGGGCGUAAAGAGUCUGUAGGUGGCACUUCAAGUCUGCUGUUAAAGACCGAAGCUAAACUUCGGAAAGGCGGUGGAAACUGAAGAGCUAGAGUAAAGCAGGGGUAGAGGGAAUUCCUAGUGUAGCGGUGAAAUGCGUAGAGAUUAGGAAGAACACCAGUGGCGAAGGCGCUCUACUGGGCUAAAACUGACACUGAGAGACGAAAGCUAGGGUAGCG
rnacentral:rRNA from 1 species